UUUUUUACGGAAUUUUCGGUCUUGAUUACUCCAUAUAUAAAGCUCUCGAACAAACGCCAAACCUAGCUUGCAGCAUUGGUUGCAGCACUGGGAGGUCGCGGUUCUUUUGAAGUUUCUAAUGAUAAUAAUGUUGCGGUGGUGGUAAUAAUAAAAUUGCGGUAAUGAGAGGGAUUUUUCAUUUUUUUGGUUUUGCAGUUGGUGAGAUUUCUUCUCAAAGGGAGAUUAGAUAAUGCAGAGAAUUUUUUCAAUGAUAACCCGACUUCCGAUAAAUCAAAGGUGGCGAUGAUUGUUAUCACAUUCGAGAGAGGAUCAUGUAAAUACUACAUCUCGGCUCAUGGUUGGACCUAUGGAUGUUGAGGUCAAGCAAAGAAAAAUUGCUAAUCAGAGAAAAUGGACCAGGAAACCAACAACAACGAACGCCCUGAAAAUGUAUAUUUUCGAAUUAGUUUUUUACAUUGUACUCUGUGAAGAACUUUUUUUUGUCUCUUUUUUCGUUUUGUAUUUAUUUGUAGUUUUCCUGACAGUAUAUAUCUGGGAGUUUGAUAAAGCCUUUUGUUUUACCAAUAUGAGAAUUUGGUAGAUAUAAUUUGUUGCAUGUCUAAAAACGAAAAAAGAGAUUUUUUGCAAGACAUGCAUAUUUUAGUCAAUGGAUUCAGAAUCAAUGAAGUGACUGCUAAAAGGAUAUCUAUCUAAACUUUAGCGUGUCUUGAAA